UACGAAGGGGGGCUAGCGUUGCUCGGAAUCACUGGGCGUAAAGCGCACGUAGGCGGAUUGUUAAGUCAGGGGUGAAAUCCUGGAGCUCAACUCCAGAACUGCCUUCGAUACUGGCGAUCUCGAGUUCGGGAGAGGUGAGUGGAACUGCGAGUGUAGAGGUGAAAUUCGUAGAUAUUCGCAAGAACACCAGUGGCGAAGGCGGCUCACUGGCCCGAUACUGACGCUGAGGUGCGAAAGCGUGGGGAGCAAACAGG
rnacentral:rRNA from 1 species